ensembl:ncRNA lncRNA:CR45559 long non-coding RNA:CR45559
GCAGUUCCUCCUUUUCAGCCGUGGGAUGCGCAUGCGAUGUCCAAAGGCAAAGCGCUCUACUCCACACCAUCAAAAACACAGCGAUACAGAAAUAACGGUGGCAUGGCCGCUCCACAUGCGACGCACUCUACGCACACACUUGUCGCCUCGCUCGCACGAGCACUUGCCCCAUGCGCAUGCGCGUUGAUGGCUCCGCCCCCGAGUUUCGAAAUACUUGACUGACUUUCAAUAUGGCCGCCGUUUUGACAGCUCCUAUUGUUGUGUUUGCUGCUGUCGUGCUAGUGUGAGUGCUGGUAUGAGAGGGACGUAUUUGGUUAGGGGCAACCAUUUGCCGGCGAUUCGACAGAGUCGGGAUGCACUUGCCGUCGGCGGAGCGGAAAUUAAAACCAUAAAGUGAAUGCAGAUGUUAAUUUGUUUAUAGAAAUUAUAAAAAGGAGUUUAUUCCAUUAUAUUAACAAUUAUUUAACAAUCUUUAUAAAAUGAAUGAUAAUACAGAUCAAAAUUUCUUUAGUUGUACUUAACUUAAACUUAAGCUUCCAUAUUUU